UGGCGCGAGCCGCGCGGUGUAGAGGAAAGUCCAGACUCGCCCGAGCUGCGAUGCUCGGAGUGUUUGCGCCCGGCGCAAGCCGGGGCGGCGAGCGGCCCGUACCGCUUCGAGGCGCGCUUCGGCGCAUGAGGCGUCCGAAAGAGGCGGUCCGGGAGCCGGGUUCGUCGACGGCGGUGAACGGAACUCCCGGAGUUCCCAGUAGCCUGAAAGUGCCACAGAGACGAGCUCUUCCGGCGACGGAAGAGGUGGAACGCGGUAAACCCCGCAAGCGAGAAACCCAAAUCAUGGUAGGGGAACCCUCCAAGGAGAAAUGAAUCGGCGGAGGGAUCGGUCGACCGGGUCGCUCCAGCGCACUCAGGCGGCCGAUAGAAAGAUGGCUACGCCUCCUGUACGAGGGCUGGGCACCCGUUUGCAGUACGGGAGGACAGAAUCUGGCUUAUAGUG
rnacentral:RNase_P_RNA from 1 species